AGAGGGGUGCGAGCGUUAAUCGGAAUUACUGGGCGUAAAGCGUACGUAGGUGGUUGGGAUAAGUUGGAUGUGAAAGUUCAGGGGCUCAACCUUGAAAGGCCAUUCAAAACUAUUUAACUAGAGUGCAGUAGAGGGUAGUGGAAUUUCCGGUGUAGCGGUGAAAUGCGUAGAUAUCGGAAGGAACAUCAAUGGCGAAGGCAGCUACCUGGCCUGCAACUGACACUGAGGUACGAAAGCGUGGGUAGCGAACAGGAUUAGAUACCCUGGUAGUCCACGCCGUAAACGAUGACAACUAGCCGUUGGUGCAUUGAGCAUCAGUGGCGCAGCUAACGCGUUAAGUUGUCCGCCUGGGGAGUACGGCCGCAAGGUUA
rnacentral:rRNA from 1 species